rnacentral:rRNA from 1 species
CUCCGGUUGAUCCUGCCGGACCUGACUGCUAUCGGAUUGGUACUAAGCCAUGCGAGUCGUUGUAGCAAUACAAGGCGGACGGCUCAGUAACACGUAGUCAACCUAACCUAUGGACGUGGAUAACCUCGGGAAACUGAGAAUAAACCGCGAUAGAUCAUUAUGCCUGGAAUGGCUUAUGGUUCAAACAAUUUAUUGCCGUAGGAUGGGACUGCGGCCGAUCAGGCUGUUGGUGAGGUAAUGGCCCACCAAACCUAUAACCGGUACGGGCUCUGAGAGGAGAAGCCCGGAGAUGGGCACUGAGACAAGGGCCCAGGCCCUAUGGGGCGCAGCAGGCGCGAAACCUCUGCAAUAGGCGAAAGCCUGACAGGGUUACUCUGAGUGAUUUCCGCUAAGGGGAUCUUUUGGCACCUCUAAAAAUGGUGCAGAAUAAGGGGUGGGCAAGUCUGGUGUCAGCCGCCGCGGUAAUACCAGCACCCCGAGUGGUCGGGACGAUUAUUGGGCCUAAAGCAUCCGUAGCCGGUUCUACAAGUCUUCCGUUAAAUCCAGCCGCUCAACGGAUGGGCCGCGGAGGAUACUACAGGACUAGGAGGCGGGAGAGGCAAGCGGUACUCAGUGGGUAGGGGUAAAAUCCUUUGAUCCAUUGAAGACCACCAGUGGCGAAGGCGGCUUGCCAGAACGCGCUCGACGGUGAGGGAUGAAAGCUGGGGGAGCAAACCGGAUUAGAUACCCGGGUAGUCCCAGCUGUAAACGAUGCAGACUCGGUGAUGGGCUAGCCUUGUGCCAGCCCAGUGCCGCAGGGAAGCCGUUAAGUCUGCCGCCUGGGUAGUACGGUCGCAAGACUGAAACUUAAAGGAAACGGCGGGGGAGCA